rnacentral:rRNA from 1 species
CCCGUCUUGAAACACGGACCAAGGAGUCUAACAUGUGCGCGAGUCAUUGGGAUCUGUAAAGCCUAAAGGCGCAAUGAAAGUGAAGGUCGGCCUUGCGCCGACCGAGGGAGGAUGGGUCGCGUCACGAUGCGACCCCGCACUCCCGGGGCGUCUCGUACUCGUUUCGGCGAGUAGAGGCGCACCCAGAGCGUACACGUUGGGACCCGAAAGAUGGUGAACUAUGCCUGGUCAGGACGAAGUCAGGGGAAACCCUGAUGGAGGUCCGUAGCGAUUCUGACGUGCAAAUCGAUCGUCGGAACUGGGUAUAGGGGCGAAAGACUAAUCGAACCAUCUAGUAGCUGGUUCCCUCCGAAGUUUCCCUCAGGAUAGCUGGCACUCAGGCGAACGAGUCUCAUCUGGUAAAGCGAAUGAUUAGAGGCCUUGGGGCCGAAACGACCUCAACCUAUUCUCAAACUUUAAAUGGGUGAGAUCUCUGGCUUGCUCGAACGUUGAAGCCACGAGAUUUACUUAACGGAUCAGAGUGCCAAGUGGGCCAAUUUUGGUAAGCAGAACUGGCGCUGUGGGA